AGAUGCAUCUUCUACAAAAAGUUAUGAGAAUCUUGCUGCCGAGAUUAUGCCAGUGGAAUAUAGGGAGGUGUUCAUUCGACUGCAACAUGAAAAUAAGAUGCUUCGAUUACAGCAGGAAGGUACUGAGAAUGAGCGUAUUGAGGAGCUUCAGGAGCAGCUGGAACAGAAGCACUGCAAGAUGAAUGAACUGGAGACGGAGCAGAGGCUGAGCAAAGAGCGAAUCCGAGAGUUGCAGCAGCAGACUGAGGACCUCCAGAAGUCUUUACAAGA